rnacentral:lncRNA from 10 species
ACACAGCUGUGUGCAGAGGCAGUAAAAGGGAGAAAUUGGAGAUGGAGAUACAGACACAUAAACAGUAUCAGAAAGUCUCUACUGUCUCCUUUCACUCUUUUCAGAACAACCAUGGUUAGAUCCAGAAAUCCAGGACUGUGGGCCAUUGGGUUCUGUAUCAAUUUUCAAAAGGUGACAUCAUAGAAUCACAGAAUGUUAGAAUUGGAAGGACAUGGAAUCUAAUCUCUCAUUUGAAACCUGACCUCCUUUUUGUUUUUUACCUGGAUGACACUUUCUGAAAUUUGGAUUUGGGCUUUUGGGUACACAUGAAGAUAUUUACCACUCCUUUAUCACAUAGAGAAAAAUCAGGCUAACUCUUUAAAAAAAUGUUUGCACUAUCACAUACAUACAGAAAAGAGCUCUAAUCUGGGACAUAUCUCAAAAUAAUAAGAGCUAUCUAUGACAAACCCACAGCCAAUAUCAUACUGAAUGGGCAAAAACUGGAAGCAUUCCCUUUGAAAACUGGCACAAGACAGGGAUGCCCUCUCUCACCGCUCCUAUUCAACAUA